GUGCUCAACUUGGCAGCACUAAAAUUGGAACCAGAUAGAGAAGGUAGCAUGGCUCCCGCACAAGGAUGACCUGCAAAUUCACGAGGCAUUCCAUAUUUUU
rnacentral:snRNA from 1 species